rnacentral:tRNA from 1 species
UGGCCGAGUGGCGGAAUGGCAGACGCACGGGACUUAAAAUCCCGGGUCCGUAAAGGGCGUGCGGGUUCGAGUCCCGCCUCGGCUAUC